GGAUGUGAGGGCGAUCUGGCUGUGACAUCUGUCACCCCAUUGAUCGCCAGGGUUGAUUCGGCUGAUCUGGCUGGCUAGGCGGGUGUCCCCCUCCUCCCUCACCGAUCCAUGUGAGUCCCUCCCGGAGCUGCUCGCUCGGUCGAAGAGGACGACCUUUCCCCCAGCCCCAGGAGAGGACCGGUCUUUGGUCAAGGGUAUACGAGUAGCUGCGCUCCCCUGCUAGAACCUCAAAAAAAGCUCUCAAACCCAUAUUUCAAGAAUAUUCAAUACAACCUCACAAAAUGAAUUUAGUAUUAAAAUGAAGUAUUAACCUCACUAAUCCAGAUCCAUUU
rnacentral:snRNA from 1 species